rnacentral:rRNA from 1 species
CAAUAGCGUAUAUUAAAGUUGUUGCAGUUAAAAAGCUCGUAGUUGGAUUUGUGGUUCGUCCCGCCGGCUGGGUCAUUGACUUUUGCUGUGCUGGUCGUCCAUCCUUGGGUGGAAUCUGUGUGGCAUUAGGUUGUCGCGCAGGGGAUGCCCAUCGUUUACUGUGAAAAAAUUAGAGUGUUCAAAGCAGGCUUAUGCCGUUGAAUAUAUUAGCAUGGAAUAAUGAUAUAGGACCUUGGUACUAUUUUGUUGGUUUGCGCACUGAGGUAAUGAUUAAUAGGGACAGUUGGGGGUAUUCGUAUUCCAUUGUAAGAGGUGAAAUUCUUGGAUUUUUGGAAGACGAACUACUGCGAAAGCAUUUACCAAGGAUGCUUUCAUUAA